UACGUAGGGUCCGAGCGUUGUCCGGAUUUAUUGGGCGUAAAGCGCACGUAGGCGGAUAUUUAAGUCAGGGGUGAAAUCCCGGGGCUCAACCCCGGAACUGCCUUUGAUACUGGGUAUCUCGAGUCCGAGAGAGGUGAGUGGAAUUCCGAGUGUAGAGGUGAAAUUCGUAGAUAUUCGGAGGAACACCAGUGGCGAAGGCGGCUCACUGGCUCGGUACUGACGCUGAGGUGCGAAAGCGUGGGGAGCAAACAGG
rnacentral:rRNA from 1 species